rnacentral:rRNA from 1 species
AGAUUGAACGCUGGCGGCAUGCCUUACACAUGCAAGUCGAACGCGAAAGCGGGGCAACCCGCAAGUAGAGCGGCGAACGGGUGAGUAAUACAUCGGAACGUGUCCAGUAGCGGGGGAUAACCUCCCGAAAGAGAGGCUAAUACCGCAUACGACCUACGGGUGAAAGAGGGGGAUCGCAAGACCUCUCACUAUUGGAGCGGCCGAUGUCGGAUUAGCUAGUUGGCGGGUAAAAGCCCACAAGCUACGAUCCGUAGCUGGUCUGAGAGGACGACCAGCCACACUGGAACUGAGACACGGUCCAGACUCCUACGGGA